AAGCGAGUGCAGAGGUACGUGGAGACACUGGAUGCCAUCAAGAUCAAGAACGCAAUGCCGAGAGCGAAUGGUCGUCCACAGGCCAAGGAGCAGCCGCAAUGGCCACACCAGAAGAGUCACCAACCGCAUCAUCAUCAACAGCAAAUGAGGGACACACAGAAUCCGGUUCGACCGCAAAUGCAGCAAAAGAAGAUGCAUUUGCAGCAACCACAGAAUGGGAUGCCGCAGCAACCGGUGGUGGUGACGACGAACUGGGAAACGUUCGAUUCCCUGUUCAUGCCAUCCACAACCACGCCCACCCCGGCCGCCUCGUCCACUCCCC
rnacentral:lncRNA from 1 species